AAGGAGGAACAGAGGGAGCUGAAACAAAAUCAUCAAGACGAAAUUGAUUGAUCAAAGUAAAGGAUGGGAUUGAUUGUGUAGAGGGGGAUCGGUUUCUACGGGAUCGGAGGGAAGAAGACGAAGUGGUAGCGAAGAUGACGAUGGCUUCUAAACAAACUAAGCACAACGGAAAGCAAGCCUGUCUAAACAAAAGCCCAACCCAAAGCCAUUACUAAAUGAC
rnacentral:lncRNA from 1 species